UGCAUGACCCUUCCCUCCCCAC
rnacentral:miRNA from 1 species